UUAAUCCUCUCUACUCUUAAGAACAAGAUGUAAACUAGGGUUUCCUCCAAGAUCAAGAAAUCAAGAAAUUUAAUCCUUAAGUUCAAGAUCUCCAAGAAAAAAAUCAAGAUUCAAGUUUCCUUCCCUUCCAUAGAUCAAGAAUUCAUCUUCCUAAGUGAAGAUACUCAAGAAACAGAUCAAGAUCCGAAUUUCAUCUAUCUAGAUUUGGGUUCCAUCUUUCAGAUCUUAUAAUUUAAGGUACGCGGGGUUUUCCUAAAAUCUCAUGGGCAUAGAAAUCAUGUUUUUAGGGAAAGGAUUUUGGAUUUAUGAUCAUAUUAAUGUUUUAGAAGCAUUGAUGAUAUUGUUUUGGGCUUUAGGCCUUCCCCCAAAUUGAUUUAAAGUGAUAUAUGUAUAUAUGUAUGUGUUUUAAGGUUGAUAAUUGAAUUGAGAGCAUGAAUAAUAAAGAAUCCCUCUCUUAUACGAUUUUUCCCAUCUUUCGUAUAAUAUGAAAUGUUUUGAAAUGCAUCUUGAAAAGCAUGACAUGAAAUAUCUUGAUUAAUGCUAUGAAUUGAGUAUAAUUUUUGAAUUUAAAAGAGAGGGUUAUGCAUGUUGAAUAUGCAUAUAACAAAGAGUAGCAUGGUUUGCCAAAAGAACACAUGACCGCCAUAUGUUUGAAUAAUCUCAGCAUAGUUUUGACUUGUAUUUUCAGAAGAUGAAAUCUUUUAUAUUGUUUGCAUGUUUGGGUGGUCUGAACUGUGUUUUAAUGAAAGAAUUAUGCAUGAUACAUUAUGACUCAGAAAAGAGGACUUGCAAGUUUUGGUGUGAUGACACCAAUUCAGAUUAUGCCAUGGUAAUUCAGAACAGAAUAGAAUGCAUGUUUGAAGUCAAAAUUUUUAAAUGUUGAAACUAGAAUAAUGCAUGAUUCAGACCAUGAUAAAAUUGGGCAUAAAGAGAUGUUAGGUGGUUCCCCGAAGAAGGAACGAGUUCAGAUAAUUAGUUACUCAAAAUCAUGAUUUGCCGAUUCGGGUAUAUUAUAUUAUGUUGGCCUAGUGCCGUGUGGCAUAUCAGAAUCAGAAACUCCAACCCUUGCAGCAUACUUGGGUUGGGGGCUUCCCCGCCGAGUCAAAGGCGGAUUUCAUACCGCCCGUGGAAUAUCAAAAUUGUAGGGGAGUGCCACCUAGCUCAGAAGUAAUACAAAGAUCAGACAUUGCAUUGACAAGAAUGAUUUAUGAUUUUCAAAAAGUGCCCAUGUAUUUUAGAACUAGUUCAUGCAUGAUAUUUUAAAAAAUUGCUCUCCAACUUUUUUAUUUAUAUACAAGCUUUAUUUUGGAUUACUUUGCGUACCAGUACAUCUGUAUUGACCCCCCCUCCUUCCAGGUUCUGAGGCACAGUCUAGGGGUCCUGAUAAGCAGUAGAUUUCAUUAGACAGGAGUGAAGAGUACCAGUUGGUGAGCCUUCUAUAUUUCUGAAGGCCUAGUUUCUUUCAGACUGCUAUUAUUUAUUAUAGUUUUGGUCUAUUGGGGGCAUU
rnacentral:lncRNA from 1 species